rnacentral:rRNA from 1 species
GUUAAGCGACUAAGCGUACACGGUGGAUGCCCUGGCAGUCAGAGGCGAUGAAGGACGUGCUAAUCUGCGAAAAGCGUCGGUAAGGUGAUAUGAACCGUUAUAACCGGCGAUGUCCGAAUGGGGAAACCCAGUGCAAUUCGUUGCACUAUCGUUAACUGAAUACAUAGGUUAACGAGGCGAACCGGGGGAACUGAAACAUCUAAGUACCCCGAGGAAAAGAAAUCAACCGAGAUUCCCCCAGUAGCGGCGAGCGAACGGGGAGCAGCCCAGAGUCUGAAUCAGCUUGUGUGUUAGUGGAACGGUCUGGAAAGUCCGACGGUACAGGGUGAUAGUCCCGUACACCAAAAUGCACAGGCUGUGAACUCGAAGAGUAGGGCGGGACACGUGGUAUCCUGUCUGAAUAUGGGGGGACCAUCCUCCAAGGCUAAAUACUCCUGACUGACCGAUAGUGAACCAGUACCGUGAGGGAAAGGCGAAAAGAACCCCGGCGAGGGGAGUGAAAAAGAACCUGAAACCGUGUACGUACAAGCAGUGGGAGCACCUUCGGGUGUGACUGCGUACCUUUUGUAUAAUGGGUCAGCGACUUAUAUUCUGUAGCAAGGUUAACCGUAUAGGGGAGCCGCAGGGAAACCGAGUCUUAACUGGGCGUUAAGUUGCAGGGUAUAGACCCGAAACCCGGUGAUCUAGCCAUGGGCAGGUUGAAGGUUGGGUAACACUAACUGGAGGACCGAACCGACUAAUGUUGAAAAAUUAGCGGAUGACUUGUGGCUGGGGGUGAAAGGCCAAUCAAACCGGGAGAUAGCUGGUUCUCCCCGAAAGCU